rnacentral:rRNA from 1 species
UACGUAGGGUGCAAGCGUUAAUCGGAAUUACUGGGCGUAAAGCGUGCGCAGGCGGUUUUGUAAGUCAGAUGUGAAAUCCCCGGGCUUAACCUGGGAACUGCGUUUGAAACUACAAGGCUAGAGUGUGACAGAGGGGGGUGGAAUUCCGCGUGUAGCAGUGAAAUGCGUAGAGAUGCGGAGGAACACCGAUGGCGAAGGCAGCCCCCUGGGCUAACACUGACGCUCAGGCACGAAAGCGUGGGGAGCAAACAGG